GGUAGGGUGGCCGAGUAAGGCGGUAAGCUGUAAACUUACUUAUGGGGUGGAAAUCCCCCUACUA
rnacentral:tRNA from 1 species